GAAAUGCGAUACGUAAUGUGAAUUGCAGAAUUCCGUGAAUCAUUGAAUCUUUGAACGCAACUUGCACUCACAACCAAUGAGUAUGCCUGUUUGAGUACCUAUAAACACGUUCAACCGAUAUUGUUGAAACUUGGGCAGUUCAGCCUUACAAGGUUGAUUGCCUCAAAGUGAUAACUGGCGAGCUGCGUUAGUGACGAACGCGGCCAAAGUGAAUGAAGGGUACGCCCACGUCCUUUGGCAGCGGCUAGUCGGUCAGCGAGCAAAGUUGCCUGUGACAGGGCAUAGAAAGCCGCGAGGAUUUCUGUACAUCAGGUCUCAAAUCAGGUAGGAAGACCCGCUGAACUUAA
rnacentral:misc_RNA from 1 species